rnacentral:rRNA from 1 species
GACGAACGCUGGCGGCGUGCUUAACACAUGCAAGUCGAACGAUGAACCGGAGCUUGCUCUGGGGAUUAGUGGCGAACGGGUGAGUAACACGUGGGCAACCUGCCCCAGACACCGGGAUAACCAUUCGAAAGGAUGGCUAAUACCGGAUACGACCACUUCGGGCAUCCGAUGGUGGUGGAAAGGAUUCUGGUCUGGGGUGGGCCCGCGGCCUAUCAGCUUGUUGGUGGGGUAAUGGCCUACCAAGGCGACGACGGGUAGCCGGCCUGAGAGGGCGACCGGCCACACUGGGACUGAGACACGGCCCAGACUCCUACGGGAGGCAGCAGUGGGGAAUAUUGCGCAAUGGGCGAAAGCCUGACGCAGCGACGCCGCGUGAGGGACGAAGGUCUUCGGAUUGUAAACCUCUUUCAGCAGGGAUGAAGCGAAAGUGACAGUACCUACAGAAGAAGCACCGGCUAACUACGUGCCAGCCGCCGCAGUAAAAC